rnacentral:lncRNA from 1 species
GGGGGUGGAGUCUAUAGAACCAAUUCAGGGCCGCGCCGCUUAGGGUGGAAGGGAAGAGAAGGCACAUGCCUUCAUCAGUGAGGCCUUUGCACCCAAGGGCAGACUGGAAGGAGUGGAUGUGGGUGAGAGGGUCCUCCGUGCCAGUGUAGAAAGCGAUGCGGAGCGGCUGGAUAUCUUUCUCCUGGUGGUAGUGGAGGAUACGUUCAGUAAAGGGCCCCGGUCGUGGUUUUGCCCAGAGGGGUUGAUGGCUGUGAUGUUGUUCGCUCUCCAGACGUCGGACCUUUUCAAAGAGAAGCCUCAUGGCCGGGUCGGCAUGAGGAAGAGUUUCGGGUGCCAAGGGCCUGGAGACGGGGCAGAUAGGGGCUAGGGAAUGUUCCCAAUCUUCCUGCGCCUCGGUGUGGUAUGUUGGCCAGGCCUCCAAAUUAUAGAAUUCCCAACUAUCCGAGUCCCCGACACCUUCCUUAUCGGGUAUGCGGACGGGGCCUGGCGAAGGGCCCAGGUGUGUCACCCGUGGGUCUUCGAGGUUGACAGGGAUAGGGAUCGGUCCUGGUUGACGGUCCGAGAUGCGAUCCCUACAAUCUUGGUAGAUCCUGACUGGUUCAUGGGGCCGGUCCUUCGGUGGGGGAACGCAAAGGAGUCGCAGCUGGGUUAGCUCCGGAUGAAGGUGGUCUUUACCCUCUCGAAGCCUAGAUUAGGCCGGGGCACUGUGGCUGGAAUGUACUGGCUGGUUCGGCUGAGUAUGCCCAACGUUCUGGGUGGGUCUUGUUGGGCAUCCUGGGCGCGAGUCCUCUCUUGAUUCCUCUUUAGAGAACGAUAGUCAUGCUCUAGCUCAGCAUUCCGGCAAUGAAGAUGCUCGUAUUUCUCCG